rnacentral:rRNA from 1 species
GAUGAACGCUGGCGGCGUGCUUAACACAUGCAAGUCGAGCGAAGCAGUUAAGAAGAUUCUUCGGAUGAAUCUUAACUGACUGAGCGGCGGACGGGUGAGUAACGCGUGGGUGACCUGCCCCAUACCGGGGGAUAACAGCUGGAAACGGCUGCUAAUACCGCAUAAGCGCACAGAGCCGCAUGGCUCGGUGUGAAAAACUCCGGUGGUAUGGGAUGGGCCCGCGUCUGAUUAGGCAGUUGGCGGGGUAACGGCCCACCAAACCGACGAUCAGUAGCCGGCCUGAGAGGGCGACCGGCCACAUUGGGACUGAGACACGGCCCAAACUCCUACGGGAGGCAGCAGUGGGGAAUAUUGCACAAUGGGGGAAACCCUGAUGCAGCGACGCCGCGUGAGCGAAGAAGUAUUUCGGUAUGUAAAGCUCUAUCAGCAGGGAAGAUAAUGACGGUACCUGACUAAGAAGCCC